UUGUCAUGGCGGAGUGCUCCUCCUCCGACGACUGGGUCAUGCUCGACUCCGACAACCCCGCCGACUCCUCCUCCGACGACGACUACGUCCUCGCGCUCUCUUCCUCCUGCAACACUCCCGCCUGCUCCGACGAAGAGGAGGAGGACGACGAGGUGGGGAGCGACGCUGACGGCGACGACCUCUACGGCGGAGAACUCGAGGAGGAGGACUCGCCGCGCCCGCCGCCGCCGAGGCCGCUCUCGGGCCUCUUCUACCACACCGCCUCCGACAACCAGCCCGGGUACCUCGCCUUCGACGCCAUCCGCAGCGCCAAGCACCUCAUCCCCGACCCGCGCUUCUCCGCCUUACCGGAGCACGUCGCCGUCCUCGCCUCCACCCGCGGCCUCGUCUGCCUCCGCGGCGAGACCACCGGCUCCUACUACGUCGCCAACCCGGCCACCUUCAGGCGGGUGCGCCUCCCUCGCCACACCCGCGACCACGUCGACCCCGCCGUCGUCAUCACCUUCGAGGAGCCCACCGCCUCCGCCUCCUGCUUCGGCGGCAUCGGCGUCGAGCACUACCACGUCGUCGUCGCCUUCAACCUCGGGGGCGGCGUCUGGUCCUUCGAGUCCUUCUCC
rnacentral:lncRNA from 1 species